AGCCGCUGGAAGGGUCUAGAGGGCCUGACAGCUGGUCCUGCAGGAUGCAUGACAAGCGAGGACUGGGCACGGUACAAUCAAGGUACAGGGCAGCAAAGGACAUGAAAGGAGAACUGGGAAGGUGGAGAGGCCGGGGUGCUCCAGGGAGCCGCCUGGAGUCUCUCCCAAGCCUGCCUCUGCCCGCCGUGAGAGGCCGGACGGGUCACCGGGGAUGCAUGAUGCAUGAUGUCCCAUCUCUCCACCAUCUCUCCCCCCUCCUGACUCUCAGGGGGAAGUUCCUGUACCUUCUAAGAAACAGUCACUGAAAAUCCAUUUGAGUCUGGUGUCUACGUUACUCCAAGAAAAGGGACAGUGCCUCCCUUCCAUCACGGAGCUCUGCCAUCCUCACACGGUACCCCAGAUUACCAGACACAGGAGAGUCAGGCGAAAGCAAUCUGACACCAACGUCCUCCUCCGGGAAGACAAAGAAGAGCAGCAGCCCAGGGGGACCAGGGCCACCUCUGCUUUCAGGGUGAAGGGAAGAGGCCUGUAUGACACAGGGCCUGUCCCCUGCAGGGGACACCUGGGACACACAAAGAGAAGGCUUGCAAAAACUCAAACACAGAGACCAAAUUUCCAGAAUUCAAAAUUCCAUCGAGCCCGUGAGAAAAAGGAAAGACUCUGAGAAGGAAGGUGCAAUCUGGAAGGUCACAGGGGAGAGCGGGCUCAGAGCGAAGAGCAAAACACCAGGAAGGAGGGAAGGUCCCCUGAAAAGAUAAAGGGCUGGGGACCCAUCCUAGGGCCUUGCACUCUGGGCAGUCGCUUUCCUAAAGGAGAAGCAGAGAGAUGUGGAUCCGGGCCUGAGAGGGCUCGGCCGGGGGAGUUGAGACUGGGACACUGCCAGCCUCCGGCAGCCCGCCCUGCCCGGUGGCCCUCCAGGAGGAAGACCAAGCCCUGGGAGCUUCCAGAAAGCUCCCUGCCACAACACGGGCAGCUUCUCAUUUGCAUCCCUGGAAGUGAGAAGGGAGGAAACCAAUUUGCAGACUGGAGAGAAGGCAGCGGAGCGAGAAGAGGAACUGAGGGAAACAGACCAGAAAACGCUCUUGCAAGUUGAAGAUCAAAUUGGAACAGAAGUCUCCGAAGAACAGAAGACAGAGAAGAGGAGAAGUUACAGCAGCAACAAAGCUCAUUUACAGCUCCAUUGUAAUGGAGAAUACCGCACGAGGGAUGCGGUGUAAUUAGGAGGGAUUCUUCAGACUCUACGAUCAGAUCCGGAGACUGAAACUAACAGCUCUGACUACAUCUCCCAGCCUCAGGGGUUGUCGGGCAGUAGCACCCCAGCAACAAAGGGGAAGUCAGAGUGUCUGGACUUCUCUUCUUGGGGAAGUGAAGCAGAAAGUAAGACCUCGGGGGUGGAAUACUUUUUAAUAUGUAACUUGGAUAUGGCAAGAGAGAAUCAAAGGCUUCAAUAAGGUGCAGAGGCCAACGUUCAGCAUCCUUCACUGGUCAAACCAUGACUGGGAAGUGCAGUCCUGGAGCCCCUGGCCAGGGCAGCUACACUGAUCCCCGUGUCCAGCAGGGAUGGUGUGGCCCUGGGCCAGUAGCUGGGGUAGGUGGCAGCUGAGUCCUCCACUUCCUGGUUGUGCUAGAAAUAGUGGCUCCCUUUUGGGUCAGCUCCGUGGGGUGGCUUGGACAGUCACUCCCAAAAGCUCAGCCCAAACCUGCUCCCCCAGCUUCUCUGACAAUUUUGUAGGCACUGAACUUCUUGUAUAAAUCUCUCUCUGAUUAAACCUGGGUUCUGUUACUUGCAAAUGAACCGUAAUCAAUACAAAGUAAACGUAAAUAAGAUGGAAAGGAGAAAAACAAAUACAUCAUUUGUCACAAUAAAUGGGAAUGAGCUGCGGGGCGGGGUGGCACAUGCCUGUAAUCCCAGAGGCUCAGGAGGCUGAAGCAGGAGGAUGGCCAGUUCAAAGCCAGCCUCAGGGGCUGGGGAUAUAGCUCAGGGGG